AUUCCAGCUCCAAUAGCGUAUAUUAAAGUUGUUGCAGUUAAAAAGCUCGUAGUUGGAUCUCUGGCAGGAGUGACUGACCACAAACUCUGUUUGUGAGUUGUGUCAUUCUGGCCAUCCUUGGUAAGAUCCUUUUUGGCAUUAAGUUGUCGGGUAGGCAAUCUCCAUCUUUUACUGUGAAAAAAUUAGAGUGUUCAAAGCAGGCUUAUGCCGUUGAAUAUAUUAGCAUGGAAUAAUAAGAUAGGACUAUGGUACUAUUUUGUUGGUUUGUGCACCAUGGUAAUGAUUAAUAGGGACAGUUGGGGGUAUUCGUAUUCCAUUGUCAGAGGUGAAAUUCUUGGAUUUAUGGAAGACGAACUACUGCGAAAGCAUUUACCAAGGAUGUUUUCAUCG
rnacentral:rRNA from 1 species